rnacentral:rRNA from 1 species
AUCGCAGACGGUUGAUUAAGUCUGAUGUGAAAGCCCGGAGCUCAACUCCGGAAUGGCAUUGGAAACUGGUUAACUUGAGUGCAGUAGAGGUAAGUGGAACUCCAUGUGUAGCGGUGGAAUGCGUAGAUAUAUGGAAGAACACCAGUGGCGAAGGCGGCUUACUGGACUGUAACUGACGUUGAGGCUCGAAAGUGUGGUAGCAAACA